rnacentral:lncRNA from 1 species
CUUGUUAAGUUGAUUAAGGAUUAAGAACUUGCUAAAUUGCUGAGGCUGUCCUUGAACUUGCAAUCUUUCUACCUUAGCUUCAGAGCUGCUGGGACUAUAGGCAUGAGCCACUAUGCCUGAAUUGCGAUUUAUAUUUCUUUUUUUUUUGGUUGGGGGGAACAUUGGAAUUGAACCAAGAGCACUUAACCACUGAACCACAUCCCCAGCACUUAAAAAAAAAAAAAAAUUUUUUUUUUUUGUAGUUGUAGAUGGACAGCAUGCCUUUAUUAUUUUUAUGUGGUGCUAAGGAUUGAACCCAGUGCCUCACAUGUGCUUGGCAAGCACUCUGUCACUGAGCUACAGCCCCAGCUGCCCCAGCACUUUUCAUUUUUUAUUUAGAGACAAGUUCUCAG